rnacentral:rRNA from 1 species
AAACUUUACACUGCAGGAAACUGCGAUAAGGGAACUCCAAGUGUCUAUGCAUCGCAUAGACUGUUUUCCUGUCCAAAAAACAGGGAGAGUAAGGGCUGGGUAAGACGGGUGCCAGCCGCCGCGGUAAUACCCGCAGCCCGAGUGGUGAACACUUUUAUUGGGCCUAAAGCGUCCGUAGCCGGUCUGGUAAAUCCUUGGGUAAAUCGUACGGCCUAACCGUACGAACACUGGGGAGACUGCCAGACUUGGGACUGGGAGAGGUUGGAGGUACUCCAGGGGUAGGGGUGAAAUCCUGUAAUCCUUGGAGGACCACCGGUGGCGAAGGCGUCCAACUAGAACGGAUCCGACGGUGAGGGACGAAGCCGUGGGGCACAAACCGG